GUGCUCACAUUGGCAGCAUAUAUCCUAAAACUGAAAUGAUACAGAGAAAAUUAGCAUGGCCACUGUUCAAGAAUGAUAUGCAAAUUCAUGACACAUUCCAUUU
ensembl:snRNA U6 U6 spliceosomal RNA